CGGCAACCGGCCAGUGAAUUUAUGUUUUGUUUUAAACAAUUUAUUUGGAAAUAUUAAUACUUUGAAAGAAAACUUUCAUGAAUAAGAGUAGUAUUUCCAUAUUCCCUUUACCAAGAUUUACUUGUCAUUAAUAUUUUGCCCCAUUGGCUUUAUCAUUAGCCCUUCCAUUUUAAAUAUAUACAUACAAUAUGUUUUCUCCUGAGUACUGAGAACAGGGUGCAUAUUUGUUAAGACAAGGAUAUUAUGUUAUAUAACCAGAGUAGUUAGCAAUUUCAGUAAAUUUAUCAACACUUAAUCUACCAUCCAUAUUCCACUUUUGCCAGUUGAUUCAAUAAUGUCCUUUAUAACAUUUUCAAUAGAACUAUUUUAAGAAACAAAAUUUAAACAAUAUGGGAACAUUUGUCAAGGCCAGCAUCCAAAAUCAUUAAAAUUAAAUGAAAAAAAUCAAAGCAGCUUUUUUUGUAUCAUGAACACCUAACUCAGUAAGUUACAUAAACUCAGAUGCUAUUUUUUGGAGAUACUGUCUAGAAAAUGCUUUUUUUUCUUUGAACAGAAUUCAGAAUGUUUAAAGAAUGGAGUAAAAUACAACUGAGUUUUAAUUUUUAACAUUAAAUAAAUGUUGAUAUAUGGCCACUUGAGGAAUAUGUUAUAGAUAAUUAAGUGGAAAGAGAAACGACUUCAGGUCAUGCUUUUUAAGAAAAAUAUAUUUGAAUUCUACAUUUAUGGAUAAUUCAGUUAGUAUAUAGUAUGUGACAGUUGAAUUUGUGCUGUAUACAUUGUCAUUGACUUAAAAAUUAACUUUUACUCUAAUGUGUAGUAUGCCAUUUUUAUUUUUCAAAUAUGAAUAAGAAUAUCAUUAUAUAAAUAAUAUAAAUAUUGCUAAUAUAUGAAAAAAAUAAACACUCAUUGUCUUUCAUCCUAGUACAAGGAUUAAUACCAUCGUAGGAUAUUUUCAUCCUGGCUUUUUUUUCAAAGUUAUAAUCCUAAUAGGCAUGUAAGUUAGUAUACUACUUCUGCUUAAUGUUAUCUCAUUGCGUAUUUAUAGUUGUCUGUUACUGUAGUCAUCAUAAUCUUCAGCUAAAGUUUAUGAUAGAUUCACUGGAGCGAUGUAACAUCUCCUUAAAAUUCCCUGUGAUUGAAUAGUUUGGUCAUUUCCAAUUUUUUUAUGUACAAACAAAAUGGAUUUCCCUAAGUGGAUUUUCCAACAAAGGACCCACAGCUGGAGUAUAUAAAAGACUUGUACAAAUCAGUAAUAAAAAGACAGAACCUAAUACAAAAAAAUAGCAAUGUUGGCAAGCAGCUUAAUUAGGUACUUUGCAAAACGGCUUGCCAAGUGGCAAAUAGGAAUAUGAAAAGAUGCCCAACAGCACAUUACUCAAUGAUAAUUAAAUGAGAAUUAAAACAACAAAAUGAAAUAUGACUGCAUACCCACUAUAAUUGCAAACAUUAAAAAACAAGAAAAUGCCAAUUAUCGUAAGUAUGUAGUGAAACAGGAUUUAUUUUAUACUGCAGGAAUGAUGUAAAUGGGAUGCCACUAUUCUAGAAACCGUUUGGUUUUUUGUACGUAGUUGAACGUAUGGACAUGAACUGUACUCCAGCCAUUCCAUUUCUAUUUAUAUACCCAUUAGAAAUGUAUGACCAUGCAUACUAAAUGACAUGUACAAGAAUUUUUAUGGCAGCAUUAUUUAUAAUAGCCACCAAACCAGAAAUCACCUAAGUGUUCCAUCAAUAGUAUUCAUGCAACAAAAUACUAUAUAGCAAUGAAAUUGAUCCAACUAUACCCAUAU
rnacentral:lncRNA from 1 species